rnacentral:lncRNA from 10 species
CCUUACCAAAGAUCUACUUUGGUGUCAUUGAUAUGGCAAUAGUUUUCUCCGAGAGUUAUCCAAGAGAGAGCAAGGCAGAAGUGGCCAUGUCUUUUAGGACCUAGUUGUGGAAGUCACACAGCAUCACAGGUGCCCUAUUCUACUGGUCACAUGGACCAACCCUGAUGCAUUGUGGGAGGAAACUGCACAAGGAUAAUUAGGCGCCAUCUUGGAGGCUGGCUACCACAGCCAUGCUGGAAACAGUUAAAUGAGGCAUACAGAGAGGAGCCCUCUUUUUACUUGUUUUCUGACAGCAAGGCUAUAGUGCAGGACAAGAAGACACUUGAAUGGCAGUGGCACCUUCUCCUCUUAGUCUGAAACCAUAGUUUCCCUGUAAGUACAGGUAUGAGAGACGAGUUCUCUUUUCAGUCUACAUAGUAAUGUCCUGGAGGAAUAGAAUAAUUCCCUUUUGUAACUAAGCUCACCACCAGGCAGAGUAGGCACUCACAUAUAUAAUGAGGUGGGGACACAGCCUCACAGAUCAUGGUGACAGCAGAGUUAAUGGAAAGAUGGCUUUAAAACCACAUCUUUGAAAUUCUGACUCUUCUUUGACGAAUUAGCUUUGUGAGUUUCGAUAAAUUAAGCUGAGGGAAAUAAAUCUAUCUUAUGGAGCUGUUUUAUCCUCCUAAAAUGAUAAUUACAAGCAUCUUUAUAUCUCUCUAUCCUUUGAGAACCUAUCAUCAUCAGUUAGAGGUGCAGGUUAUGAUGACAUAUAUGGAUAUCAGUCUCACCAGCAGGUGAUCAUGAAAUCUUCCUCUCAAAGACUAAGAUUUAGAAUUGUUAAGGCUGGGCGCGGUGGCUCACGCCUGUAAUCCCAGCACUUUGGGAGGCCGAGGCAGGCAGAUCACGAGGUCAAGAGUCGGAGACCAUCCUGGCCAACAUGGUGAAACCCCGUCUCUACUAAAAAUACAAAAAUUAGCCUGGUGUGGUGGCAGGCGCCUGUAAUCUCAGCUAUUCGGGAGGCUGAGGCAGGAGAAUCGCUUGAACCCGGGAGGCGGAGGUUGCAGUGAGCCGAGA